rnacentral:sRNA from 1 species
CAUAAAAACCAACAACAAAACAAGAAAGAAAAUAAACCCUCAAUUUCCCUAUUUAAUACAGAGGUUAAUUCAAAUUUUGAAUUCAAUCUACAUCUUGAGAAUGCGGUGUCCCUCAAAUGAUAGAUUAUCAAUUAAUAUUAAGUUUCCAAGUAACCGCAUUAUGAGCAGAGAAUGAUGGGACUUCUAAUAGAAGCUUGUGAGUUCAAUUCUUUCGUGAACAGCAUUUCUUCUGGGCAAUCUGAUCCAGGGUGAGCAUUCUGUGUCCACAACUCCCAUGUCACAUGGGAAACUCUGUGGAGGUUACACUUGGGGACAGACAUGGACACUGCCUCCAAAGGCAUAAUUAUGGUUAUAAACUGACAAGCUCUACAAUACUUGAUGGCCACUCAUCUCCAUGUUUCAUCAAGGACUUGGUCUUUUAUUAUCUGUCUCCAUCAAAAUGCCCAAGGUGUAGCGUGAACUCUUGUGGAUGCAGCUGGAAUGAGCAGCAGCAACAGCUGUCUGUCUGUGUGACCCUGGCUUUAAAACCACAUUAUGGAACUGGUCAACUUCUGCAGACUUGAUAAGAGGCUGGCCAAGCCAGUUUCCCCACUGCACACAGUGGCAGGCAGCUCAGAUGUGCUGGGCAAGUGCUUGAGAAGUUUUCUUGUAUCUGUCAGAAGCACACCAGCAUGAAGUCACGAAGAUGUUCCUGCUCUCAGAGCUCAGUCAGGCCUGGGUGGUUUCAAGGUUAUGAACAGCAAGCAAAAAAAGACCUUAAGGAGGCUACCGCCCAACCAAGCACGUUCUCCAAUAACGCCCAUGACUUCUUAGACCCUUCCAGGGUGACUCUGAUGGGGCAUCCCCUGUGCAACCGAGCCUAGGCAGCUUUUGUAGCUUGCAGUGCUAUGGUGAUCCUAAAGGAACUCUUUCCUAAAGAGAAAGUGUUAGGUGCUGACAGCCAUCACAGUUCACACAGAGCUGAAGGUAAAGGCAGGCAGAAAAGUCUCUCUGCAUAGUCAGAGAGGGUGAAGCUUAGGAAUUACCACAAGUUAAUUCAGAAAGUAACAUCUACAAUACAAAAAAGCAGGAAGCCUGGAUAAGAGCUAAACGCUUCCCACAUGGCCUCACUGUCAGAGGUAUCUUAGUCAUAUUUAAGCAUCAUCAGCACAGAAACAGCAUACCUGAAUCCUUCAAUGGCCGGAACUUACAGCCUGCACUCUGGGAAUCAGAAGCCCACCUCCCUCUGAUGCUCUGAAGACCAGGAUGUCUGCAGAGGUGGAAAGAAAGCUCUCUCUCACCUCCACGACAGCCUCUUGUGAACAGAAUGCCUACAGGCCUGGGGCUUUCAAUAAAAUGCUUCCAGUUAUGAUCUUGCCUGCAACUCUGCUGGAAGAAUAAUGCAAUUUCAGAAAUCAGAAAAGGCUACGUUUAUUUACUAAAAUGACUCCCACGAAGUCAUAAAUUCCAGCCCAUUGCAUUCUCAGGACUGACUACAUUUAUGAUUCCAUACCAUCUAUAACUUACUUUAAAAUACUACUGGUUUCGACUAUUUUCCUCAUGGCACAUACAUUAUAUUUAAGAUCGUCUAUUUACAUCCAUCCAAAAGAAACAAAAUCCAAUGCUUGUGACAAGCAGUAAAACAUGCAGGUUGUGUUGUUUAAUUUCACAAUCCACUGACAGAUAAGACCUGAGAUUUCAAAACAAAUUGUUCUGACAACACGAUGUACCCCUGUACAACAGGCGGUCAGGGAACCGAAUCAGGCAGCGGUUACAGAGCAAGUAACGGCCUUUCAGGGUUCUAACGCCAGAGGCAGACAUCUAACUUGUGCACCUGCACCUCAUGGCAUCACCAGCAUUUGCAGCAAAGUUCAUCUACAAGCAGUGAAAAUGGCAGAACCAACCCAGGGACAACGACGAUCUUCACAGCCAGGACGGGCUAGAAACAGAGAUGCUCUUCCACCCAGCAGGACAGGAGCGGAUUACAUUUUGGCAAUACAUUAAAUCUAAGAUUCUGGAAGCCUGUAGUGUUUCUUUGUUAUUUUUUGUUUUGCUUUGAGAUGAGUAUCAAACUUCCAAUGAAGCCCAUGUUGGCUUUGAACUCACUAAAAUCCUGCUGCCUCUGCCUAGGGAGCGCUGGGAUUACAGGCAUGAGACACAUUGCCUGACUCAGUCUUAAGGUCUUAUUCAUGCUUCAAACAACACUGCUCUUAGACCUCUUGGGCUGUUGAAACAAAACACUUCAGUGAAGACUCACUACCAUACUGGAGGCCGCGGAGCUCACAAUCGAGGGGUCAGGUAAUGCUCUGUCUGCUGAGGAACUCACAGGUGGCAUCAAGUCCUAGACCAGCAAAGGCUCUCACUUUGGGGUAAGGGCACUAUUCAUCCAGAUAUGGACAACACCAACUGAUCAAAGAAGGGAUUCCCUGCAAGUUCAGGUGGUAAAGUAAUGAGCUUAAUGGGGGUUAAAUAUUGGAGAAUGAAGAAUUCAAACGUCAUCAGCAAAUCUCUUUGGGCAAUUUAGGGGCAGCUGUACUACUGAGCCAUACCCCAAACAACUGUUUGUCUCAUAAAAUCUUGGGGAGGUGAGUGACCUUCUAAGGAUCUAAUGAUGGCCAUCCGACUCCUGACCUGCUCUAUUUUCUCCAGGAGGGAUCACAGGCCCAUCAGGAUUUUAAUCUUGAUCUUGUGAGUGUGUCGUGUGGGUGGUCAUGGAUGCUUGAAUCUAGAAGGCACUGGUUAUGUCCAGCAUGGAGGAAAGUGCUAUAGAGCAGACCCUCACACUAAGGUGAGGUCCUCAUGCCAACUUGUUGAAUAUUGGUAUAACCUGCGCCCUACACAGACAUGUGGGAUGAGACACAAGCAAGCAGAGUUCCUGUGGAAGGGGUACAGUGAGCCAUUAUGAGGUUUUCUUCCCAAACGCACAAAGAUGGGGAAAAUGUAAAAAAACGCAAAACUACACAGGAAUCUAGACACGUGAUCACUGCUUCGUUGAAUGCUAGUUGCUAGCCAUAUGGGCAGUGAUGACACAUGCUCAGUUCUUAAGUGCAUGCUGCAUAUCUGACACAUGCUAAGUCCUGAGCAGCCGGGGAUAGUCUCUGACUUUAUUAGGCUCACUAUGUAUGUGAGAGCCAAGUAUAAGCAGAUCCUCUACAGUGGUUCAGAGUGAGAAAGGGGAGCACACACGUUCACAGACAGAAGGUAAAGGACAUUUACUUUUGACAAAGUGAUGUUUAAACCAAAGCCUACAGAAUUAGCUGGUUGAGGGGAAGAAGGAGACAAGGAGGCAUUCCCAGGGAAGAAAGUCCUUUUCUUUUAAGAGGUGAGGAAGAGAACUAAAGAGUGAGGGGGCAGAUGUGGUGCAGGCUAUAACUGUAGCACUUGGGAAGUUACGGCAGGCCUCAAGCUGCAGGUCAUCCUGGGCUGUGCAGUGAGCCCGGCUGUGUAACAAGGCACUAACCUGUAUAACGUCCCCCUACACACCAAUUACAGGGGAGAGAAGGAAACUCAGAAAGACACCGAAAGACAGGGGCUAAACAGUCUUAAUAAUUGGUUGAAAUAAAAUUUAACACUUCCAGUCUCUCCCCUAAGGUUUAUAGUUAUGGCAUUGUUACGCUAUGCUAUUCCAGAAUGAAGUAUGGUUUGCAUUUUUAUGUUAGUGGCGUGAAGCACUGUGCUAUGUUACAAAACUAAAGGAAUUUUAAUUUUCUAUCUAGGUAGUACUGACCACAUGAUUACUAAACUAAAAAGUUUAUAGAUUAUUUUUUCCUUUCUUUUUUAUUUUCCUGGCCUUUUUCAUUUAGAUUAUUUUUUUUCAAUGAGUAUCUACACCUUGGUUCUCUAUCUAUAAUGUUAUACAUCCUCAAAUUUGUCAAACUUUCCAUACAGUUGUCCAGGGGUCAUCACUGUAAAAGAGUAAUGAUAUUCAAAUGUUUGCUGCAGAAGAUCUACCUGAAAGGCUGCUGACACAGGAGGCUCUUGGCUGCCUGCUCAGUGUCUGAUUCUAGUCUGGAGUGGGGCCUGAGGAUUCAUACGUCUCUCAAUGCCCAGGUGGUGCAAAUGCUAGAGUCCUGAGAACACACUGCCACACCACAGCCCUGCAGCCCGUGAACCUGAGUACAGGGGUCAGGAGGGAGCAGCUGUUCUCAGCUCUUAGCCAAGGUAGUAAUGGCCAUGCGUACAAAUAUAAUUCAAGUCCGAAGCUGGAGCUGAAUUGUAUUUUCAAACAAUUUUGGAAAAGUGACAUUCCAAUCUUGCUGUACUCUUUAGCUGGCUUCACAGAGAGAUGUCUCACAGAAUCACCAUCUCAAUGGAGCAGUGAGUCUUCUAAAACCACUUAGUCCUCCAGGCGUCACUACUGUUAAACGGAACCUUAUCUUCCCAAGGAUUUGGAAGCUGAGAAGCUCCUCCACGAGGUGAAAGAAUUUUGAACACAAGCAAUGAUGUUUUGUUUUAGAAAACACCAUCGAGGUUUCAAAGUAAUGAGAGUGGGAAGAAUAGGCAAUUGCAGUACACUUCAUCAAGAGAGGCCAACAUUACAUAUGCAGUAUCUUCUUUAAAUCAGAGUGGUUAUAAUAAUCCGUGAAAUUCUGAACCAUCUCCCGGAAUCUUAUCAACCACUUCUUUGGUAACAUGGGCUCCACAGCAGCACUGCAUGGUGAUCUUGUUAUACCAACUCACUUUACAGCCACUCAGUAUAUUUAAACACACUGCCUAGCUCUCUCUCUUACACACACACACACACACACACACACACACACACACACCCAAACCCCUACAUAUAUCAAGAACAACAAUAAAAAAAAAACCUUGUGAUUUUACUUUUGUUCCAACUAGAACAAUUCAUCUUAAUAAUGGUUAACAUGAAUUAAAAUUUUUCAUAAACUGAUCAAAAUAUUAUAUAUAAUUACAGCAACAGUGGCACUCAGCAGCCCUUAGGAGGUAACAGACGCCACUUCCUUCCCAGCCCAGUCUCGUGGUUGAUGGAAUGAGAUGCUACUGUGCACAGUGCUCUGCAGUGACUCCUUUCUACUUUUCGCUACUUUUCAGUUUGUUCACUGAACUUAUGACAACUUACAAAGUUUAGCAGUGGCACUGCUGUGGAUCCCAACUGACGGAACUCAGUCCGUGAGCUCACACUGCUGGCUUGUUCUCUGGGCAUCUUGAUUUCUGAGAGCAAGGGCAGACAGUGAGCAAGGGAAGCAGCCAUCCCAAGAGCUGCUGGGGUGACAUCCAUAUCAUCAACCUGACGGCGGGUCAUACCAUCGGGUCAUGCCAUGUCAUGCCAUGAUGGCCUGCCAUACUGGGUCACUCCACAGAGCACCAUUAAUUCAUUUGGUGGAGAUGGUUUCAAAAUGCUGCAGAGUCCAGGUCAUGGCAGAGUGAGCGCUGCUUGAUUUUUGCCAGGUUUACAUGAAAAGUGAGAGCAAGAGAUACAGUGGAGAGAUCUAAAACCUGCACCUUGGCUUAGGGGGAAGCUUAGAGUCACACCGAGAGAGAGUGGUUUAAGGAGACUGUGUCAUUGGAGAUAAGCUAUUUGUAGCGAGGCAAGUGGAAAAGUGCCUUAAGGAUACUCCUGACUAAGCACAGCCAUUCACUGCAGCCCACGGGAGAGGAGAAGUGUAAAUCCACUUCUCAGACUUUCUGUGGGAGGACAGCUCCAGGGCACCGUCUUUGCACAGGAACAGGUAGGACGGUCUCCCUACGGUCUCCCUUACGGUCUCCCUAGGGUUGUUCUCUUGGGUUCAGCUUUCUAGGCACACAACGGCCAUUACAGUUAGUGGGGAUCCUCAGGGUACAGUUCAUGUUGGCCGGACUCUGGCACUAUCAAUAUGAUGCCAGCUUUGCAGGCAUGUAGAAUACAGGCAUUACACACUGAAUAACAGAGACUUGCACCACGAUGCCUUGCACACAGGCCGGCAGUGCGUAGGAGGGCAAUGUAUGAAGUUGUGAGAGUGAGGCUAAGGCUCCAGUGGAACCCCAGGACUCUACAUACAGAAGAAGUGUGAAAUAUCUGCUAAGAAAGGCCGCGGGCAGGAAGCAGAGGCAAGACGGUGUCACUAAUGUAAAAGGUUAUGAACCCACAUACAAGUAUGUAACAGCCGGGAUCUGAUAGGCUGUUUCUAGCUCACUGAAAUCAUCUCUAAAAAGAAGAAAAACUAGAAGCAGAAUCAAGAAAGACUGGUGCUUAAGAUAUAGACAACACAAAUAAGAAUGUGUUAGUGAUUUCCUCCACACUGGGUAACCCAGGAAAGGGAUGGAAAGUGUUUUUCCCUUCCAGGCAGCCAGUAUAGAAAAACAACAGUACAGGACUUCUAAGUGAGCUGGUUUGAAAUUCGGGUAUUUGUUUCUCUUUAUUCAUAUUUACUUAUUUACUUUUCUUUUCAUGGCACUGGAGAUCAAACUUUAUGCCUCAGGCAUACUACACACACAGAGUCACCAAAACACCCCAUUCCGUUCACUUAAAAACAAUAAGGUCUAUUUUCUUUUAUUUUAUGUAUAGGUGCAUGUAUGUAUGUGCACCACAUGCAUGAAUUACCCUUGCAAAUUGGAAGAGGGUGUUGGAUCUCCUGGAACUGAAGUUAUAGGCUGCUGUAAUUGACCAUGUACAUGCUAGGAAAUCAACUCACAUUCCUCUGUCUGAGCAUUUGAUUCUGAGUGAGUCCUAACCAUCUGCACAGCGAGAGCUAACAUCGUCGGAGCAAACUGUGUGCUGGCUACUCUCUACAAGUAAGCACUGCCAUAGACUGAAGGUCCCCCUACCCUCUUCCCCAGCAGCCUGCUGUCCACAGUCAUAGGCACAGGGGUGGGGUGGGACAUCCACAUGGGGUGGGGUCACCCUGAGCCUCGGGUGACCGCUCUGAGGCGAGGAUAUAAGCCUUAGUGCUCUGUUAUUUAGACCCCUCCCCCACAGCUGAGACCUGCAGUACUAAAUACCCAGAGGAAAAUGUCACAUCAUGUGACCCUUUCUGUAAGCAUCUAAUUUAUGUUGUUCACACAGAAUUCCCAAACUACGGAUGCUGAGAAUCUUCAAGGCAUAGGGCGAAAGAACUUAUUUCUGGAUUACUGAAUUUUAGUUCCUCAAUGCAACUAACAGCACCCAGAGCCAUUCCUCUUCUUUCUCUUCUUCCCCAAUUCUGUCUUCUGUGAUGAGCUCACCCUGAGGAACCUGUAACCACCAAGUAGGGGCUCUUCCUGAGUGUGGCCUCCUGAACCUGCCCUUCAAAGCCUCAGCCCAAUUCAAAGGCUCUUUGCCAAGAGAUGCAACAAAGUGACCCCAAGCAGAAAGAGACGAAUGGGAGAAACAGUUUAAAAAAAGAAUACAAGACUGGAAAUCAGUUCCAGCAGUACCGUGGGCUCCACUCUGUCUUGGGACUAGUGAGACUGAAGACAGUGUGGCCUAGAGGGUCCAAGGAGCAGGGAGAGAAGUGGGAAGGGAGGUGAGAAAUAACAAGUUCUUACUGUGUAACAGUUGAGAGCACAUCUUUUGGAACCCAUUGGACCAGGGCUCAAAUAAAUCACACAAUUUUGUCCUGUUAUGAACAAUCUAACCUUGAGUGAGAGAAUCUUCUCUGAGCCUUGAUUUUAACAUCUGAAAGUGGAAUCGAUUGUAUGUAACCUGAGGGGUUUGAGUAUUAACUUUUGAAUGGCUAGGACAUGUGCUUAGCAGGGUAGUUGAAUGGCUAGGACAUGUGCUUAGCAGGGUAGUUGAAUGGCUAGGACAGUGUGCUUAGCAGGGUAGUUGAAUGGCUAGGACAGUGUGCUUAGCAGGGUAGUUGAAUGGCUAGGACAGUGUGCUUAGCAGGGUAGUUGAAUGGCUAGGACAUGUGCUUAGCAGGGUAGUUGAAUGGCUAGGACAGUGUGCUUAGCAGGGUAGUUGAAUGGCUAGGACAGUGUGCUUAGCAGGGUAGUUGAAUGGCUGGGACAGUGUGCUUAGCAGGGUAGUUGAAUGGCUAGGACAUGUGCUUAGCAGGGUAGUUGGCACACAUCGUAAUGAAACCAGACCCACUAGCUGCCGCUGCUACCCAGGUCUGGGUUAUCUUUGCCCAUGCUUCUUAGCUAGCCUUCCAGAUGAUGUGAUGUCCUUCUGUCCACUCUCCAGCCUCAGCCUGUACUUGUUUUCCCUAUGCAAUGCCUCUCUGCCUUCUGCUUCCUAUGGAGAAGAGCGGAUGCCUGCCACUCACUCUAGCUGGUUCUUCUGCUAAGAAUGUUCUAUCAGAGAUAGUAACAUGGCUGUUCUUAGAAACUCAGUCUGUAGGUUUAAAACCUCAGCUUCUGGAAGAGGCCUUCUCUGACCAGCUGCUGUGGUUUGUCUGAGACAUUUCAAAAGGCACUCGUGUCGAACACUUGGCCCUACUUGGUUGUGUGACGGACAGGUGGCUGCGUCAUGGCACUGCCUUCAUGGCUGAAUUCAUACUGAACAGUCUACGAGGAGCUGGGGCCCAGCUGGAUGAAAGAAGUCACUUGGGGAGAGACUCUAAGGACAGUCUGGUGCUCCUGACCCCCUCCUGCCCUUCUUUCUGCUCCCCGGCGGCAUGAGGGGCAUAGCUCUGCUUGGCCCUGUGUUCCUCAUCGUGAUGUAAUGCUGGCUUUAGGCCCAAAGCAAUGGAGUCAGCCCAGCUGUGGCCUGGAUCACCUAAACCACAAGUCAAAAUACACUUUCUUAGUUUCUCUUAAAUACUUUGUCACAGCAACAACAAGACCUAACACUCUAAUCAUCCUCAGAAAUUACCUCAUCCUCUGGGAGAACCUUGUUCUGAUUACCUACUUUCACAGCUUUAUGACGGAUACUACCUUACUGGAUUAGCGUCUGUUCACACUUCACUACAGAUUUACUGCAGGCUCAUCCACGGGUGAAUCCUUAGCCCUCAGGAGAGCACACACAUUGGGAAGGUAUUAAGUCUGAACCUGUGCAGUGAUGGGCUGGAGUCCUUAUGGUUAGAUCGAGGGUUUGAUCUCAGUGUAGGUGAACCACAAUCGAGUUCCCACACCUAAAUAGUACUGAAAGGCACAACAGGAGCAAGUAGGGAGGUGUUCAUGUAUCCCACAUCCACUCAGACCUUAGCGGGGACAUCAGCUCUAAGUCACGGAAAAUAGAAAGCCAACUAUGGAUUGAAUAAAUUGAAUUAUUUCAUUCCUUUGCCAUCUCCCCUGAACAUACAUGGACAGUUAGAUGAAAUCAAUCAAGGAUUUCAAUGGCUCUGUAGAGACACUCAGGUUUUGUUUCCCUGGUGGGUACAUGAUUAUCCAAGUUUUGCAAUUCUUUAACAAUAAGCUGAGAAUAUGACAAUACCACACUGACCAUUUCAGAAGGUCUAUGUACAACAUUCUUAUUAGACUUGUGUAUGGAAACAGUAGUUCUUUUGGGAUUUGCCAGCAGAGCAGUAGUUGAGGAGACACAUUUUACCUCUCUUAUGCACUCAAGUAUGGUGAUAUUGAAGAGAUGGGAGCAAUUCCACGUGGCAUUCCCCACGAAAGCCAUGUACCAUUUAACCGAAUCCCAGUGUCAGGCUUGGGAAACCUCCCUUUGAGUUGUGGGCUGGGGCAUUAUAACAAUCUUCCAAAGCAAAAUGGGCUGUGGCCAUUGCUCUUGGUUGCCUCCCAGGACUCAAAGGUAAAACUGUAUUGUUCAAGACAUGACGUAAUUUGAACACAGAACCUGGAGGAAUCAAGUUGGAGCUGACCUGGAGGCUUUUGUCUCAAGGACUGCUCUCACAGUACCAGGAGGUGCUAACAGUAAAGCAAGCUGUGAAGGGAGAGGAACAACUGGUAGUCUCACACAUCUGUAAAGUCCGGGAGCCACAACACGACCAGUCUGGUAAGAGAUUCCCAAAGGGGCACCGUGGCUCUCGGAUCCUGGAGGUAGCCAACGUCUGUCUGACUGGACUGAUGCUUGACUGGAGGGAACUCAUGGUUGGUACUCAUCAAUACCUGUGGCUGGAGAUGUCACAGACCAUGGAGAAGAAUGUGGACCUGUGCCAUUUCCCUAAAAUAAUGCAAUUUCUAAGUGGAGUCUAAAUGCUGAUCCUUAUCGCUUGCAGACAAGGGCAGUUGUCAGCCCUCAUCAGGGACACUUCUUUCUGUUAACAGGUGAAGACUCCACAGCUGGUCAGAAUGCAGAGAUCUGCAGUGAGAUCCCAACACAGCAGGCUUAGAGAACACUGUGGAAGAGGGAUGGAAAGAACCAGAGACUCAGGACGCCUGCUGCUCGAUGUAGCCUCUGACACUAGGAACAGGAUAGCCACUUACUCUCAACAAUUUGGUUGCUUGAGCAAGACAGCAUAAUGACAUCAGGUGACAAGCCAGUGUGGAUGAGGGAACUUCCCCAAGAUCCAACCCCUAGACGAGGAGUUGAAGUCUGCAGUGGCGUCUGAACUGUGACUGCAGCUUGGUUUCCUCAGGCCUGAGCUCCCACAUACAAUCCUGAGUGGUCAGUCAGCUUCGAAUACAUGUACAUACGGGCAAUGCUAAACGACCUCAGUCCUCAGUAGUGGCAUAUACAUUUAUGAAUAUGUAUAUACACACAUAUAACAUAUAUAGCACAUGCAUGUGCCUGUGUAUGUGUUUGUGUGUGUCUGUGUAACAGUAAUAAUUAAAGACAAAAAGGUCAUGAAUUUGGGAAGGGGACACAGAGUGUUGGGAGGAGAGGUGACAUGGAUAUAGAUGUAGUACUACUAUAUAAAAGAAAAAAAAAAAAGAAAACCUUUAACAAGAUGAAAUAUACCCCACCUACCCCCUACCCACCAACUGAAUGGCAAUGCUGGUGAGAAGGUCAUUCUCAACACAGCUGCCAACUGAGGAUGUGUCUGGCGGAUGAAGAUAUUCUAAAGAGAUGUUCGUGGCCCUUACUUUGGCUAUCAGACUGUGGAAACAAUGGACUGGGAAAAAGAACAAAACAAACCCAAACCCUGGAAUUAUCCCUAGAGCGUCGUGCUGGGAGAAGAGAAAAGCCUACAGCCUGCACCAACCAGACAUGAAACUUCUCUCCUUGAAAGGUUAUUGUUUACUUAGCCCACCUUACAGGAAAGACAGGGUAGGGGUGUCAAUGACAGGCAGGACCACAGCUUACACUUGUAUAACUCUGGCCUUUACUUAAACCUUAACCUUCCUUCAAGACCCUGAAGGAAGAUUUGCAGGAAGGUUGCUGGAUCUCUGUCCCUCUUUCCAGAGGUCACAUGAAUAAAUCCAUUUUCUGCCUUCAUUAUUAAUUUGGCUCUUUUGAUUGGCUUAUAGAAGAUGGGUAGGCAAAACGGGCUCAUUGGGGCAGAUGCAAUCAUUUCAGCCAAGUGAGGACAGAUCCAUGGAAGUCUAUAUGAUGGCUCUGUUCUUUCUAUUUUAAACAACGUAUUAAUGUGAGUAAGUCUGCUUCAU